rnacentral:rRNA from 1 species
UUUGAUCCUGGCUCAGAACGAACGCUGGCGGCAGGCUUAACACAUGCAAGUCGAGCGAGGACUUCGGUCCUAGCGGCGGACGGGUGAGUAACACGUGGGAACAUGCCCUUCUCUGCGGAAUAGUCCUUGGAAACGAGGUUUAACACCGCAUACGCCCUUCGGGGGAAAGUUUAUCGGGGAAGGAUUGGCCCGCGCCUGAUUAGGUAGUUGGUGGGGUAAAAGCCUACCAAGCCGACGAUCAGUAGCUGGUUUGAGAGGAUGAUCAUCCACACUGGGACUGAGACACGGCCCAGACUCCUACGGGAGGCAGCAGUGGGGAAUCUUAGACAAUGGGGGCAACCCUGAUCUAGCCAUGCCGCGUGUGUGACGAAGGCUCUAGGGUCGUAAAGCACUUUCGCCAGGGAAGAUAAUGACGGNACCUGGUAAAGAAACCCCGGCUAACUCCGUGCCAGCAGCCGCGGUAAUACGGAGGGGGUUAGCGUUGUUCGGAAUUACUGGGCGUAAAGCGCACGUAGGCGGAUAUUUAAGUCAGGGGUGAAAUCCCGGGGCUCAACCCCGGAACGGCCCUUGAUACUGGAUGUCUGGAGUCCGAGAGAGGUGAGUGGAACUCCGAGUGUAGAGGUGAAAUUCGUAGAUAUUCGGAAGAACACCAGUGGCGAAGGCGGCCCACUGGCUCGGUACUGACGCUGAGGUGCGAAAGUGUGNGGAGCAAACAGGAUUAGAUACCCUGGUAGUCCACGCCGUAAACGAUGAGUGCUAAGUGUUAGGGGGUUUCCGCCCCUUAGUGCUGCAGCUAACGCAUUAAGCACUCCGCNCUGGGGAGUACGGNCGCAAGGCUGAAACUCAAAGGAUUUGACNGGGGGCCCGCACAAGCGGU